UACGGAGGGUGCGAGCGUUGUCCGGAAUCAUUGGGCGUAAAGGGCGCGUAGGUGGCCCGGUCAGCUCGUGGUGAAAGCGCGGGGCUCAACCCUGCGUCGGCCAUGAAUACUGCCGCGGCUGGAGCACUGUAGAGGCAGGCGGAAUUCCGGGUGUAGCGGUGGAAUGCGUAGAGAUCCGGAAGAACACCGGUGGCGAAGGCGGCCUGCUGGGCAGUUGCUGACACUGAGGCGCGACAGCGUGGGGAGCAAACAGG
rnacentral:rRNA from 1 species